rnacentral:rRNA from 1 species
GGCUUAACACAUGCAAGUCGGACGGUAACGGGUAAGUACUUGUACUUAUGCUGACGAGUGGCGGACGGGUGAGUAAUGCUUGGGAAUCUGUCUUAUGGAGGGGGAUAACGACGGGAAACUGUCGCUAAUACCGCGUAGAGUCGGGAGACGAAAGUGCGGGACUUAAUGGCCGCAUGCCAUGAGAUGAGCCCAAGUGUGAUUAGGUAGUUGGUGGGGUAAAGGCCUACCAAGCCGACGAUCGCUAGCUGGUCUGAGAGGAUGGCCAGCCACACCGGGACUGAGACACGGCCCGGACUCCUACGGGAGGCAGCAGUGGGGAAUAUUGCGCAAUGGGGGCAACCCUGACGCAGCCAUGCCGCGUGAAUGAAGAAGGCCUUCGGGUUGUAAAGUUCUUUCGGUGGUGAGGAAGGGAUGUUGUUUAAUAGAUAACAUCAUUGAC